AACCCGCGCAUGUCCGGGUAACGGCAUGCACCUCCCUGUUGGACUGCCGGGCCGUAUGGCCCGGCUUUUUU
rfam:Ruegeria sp. ANG-S4 contig_4, whole genome shotgun sequence.